AGAGUUUGAUCCUGGCUCAGAUUGAACGCUGGCGGCGUGCCUUACACAUGCAAGUCGAGCGAGAAGGGCGGCAACCCCGAUUCGAGUGGCGAACGGGUGAGUAAUACGUCGAUACACUGCCUGUAGCGGGGGACUACCUCGAGAAAUCUAGGCUUAUUCCGCAUACAAUCUACAGGUGAAAGUGGGGGCUCGCAAGAGCUCUCACCAUAGGAGUGGUCGAUGCCGAAUUAGCUAGUUGGUAGGGUAACGGCCUACCAAGGCGACGAUCGGUAGCUGGCUUGAGAGAGUGAUCAGCCACACUGGGACUGAGACACGGUCCAGACUCCUACGGGAGGCAGCAGUAGGGAAUUUUGGACAAUGGGCGAAAGCCUGAUGCAGCCAUGCCGCGUGAGUGAAGAAGGUCUUUGGGUUGUAACUCUUUUUCGCCCGGAAAAAAUGACUCGGGGUAACCAUCCCGCUUAGAUGAUGGUACCGGAAGAAGAAGCGACCGGCUAACUACGUGCCAGCAGCCGCGGUAAUACAGUAGGGUGCAAGCGUUAUUCGGAAUUACUGGCCUUAAAGCGUGCGUAGGCGGUCUCCAAAGUGCCUAUGUGAAUUCCUCGAGCUUAACGUGGGAACUGCCGUUCGAAACUAUGAGCCUAGAGUGCGGCAGAGGCGAGGUGGAUUUCCAGGUGUAGCAGUAAAAUGCGUAGAUGAUCGGGAGGAACCCAGAUGCGAAAGCCACUCGCCUGGCCUAGUACUGACGUUAAGACAGGAAAGCUUGGGGACCAACCAGGAUUAGAUACCCCCGUAUUCC
rnacentral:rRNA from 1 species